rnacentral:rRNA from 1 species
GCAAAAAGGAAAAAAAAUCUCACCCGCGACCGCUCGUCCACCACUUCCUCCCCCGAUCCCAUCGCCGCCGGUGCGUACCCCACCUCCUACUAGCGCGCCACCACUCCCGCCUCCUUCCGGCGCGCCGUCGUCCCCGCCUCCUACCGACGGGCCGCCGGACACGCCUUCUCCCCCCGUGUACCGCCUCCCCACGCGCCGCGCGCCGCCGGCCGCCGCUGUGGUUGUGCUUCCCCGGAGACCAAUCACCAACCGUGAUGCACUCCCCAACCAUCGCGCAUCCCCGGAUCCGUCGCCACCACGCGGCGGCGAACUCCCCCGGCAGGGAUCCACUGGGGACGGCGGCGGCCCGAUCCCCUGCCGCGGCCAACGACCUUCUGCUCCGCUCCUGCUGUGGUGGCCGCCGCCGGCCUUCCUCCGUGCUGGAGCUGCCCGUCCCCUACCUCCCGAUGCUGCCUUGGUCUCCCCCACCUUCGGCAGUAGCUACGACGUCGGACAUCUCCUGCAGUAGAUCAGGUCAUUGACCACCGCCCGAUACGUCGUCGGACCAGCGGAUCCACGCUGCUCCUCCACCUCCCGACCAAUGCCGCCGACCUGUCCUGCUGCUCACCUCCUCCUCACAUAUGCAUCAACAAAACUUGGCAGCCGCUGCAGUCCACAUCGUUCCACAGUAGCAGGUCAACUCCUCCAAGGUCACACGAGCUCGCCGCCAAAAGCCCACGGUCUAUUGAGCCAGAGAUGGCACUGGACGCCGCCGUGGCCGAUCAUCUGGAUCGGAGCCACCAACCCACAUCCGCACAGAGGGAGCUGGUAGCAGCCCCGUUGAUGGGGAUUGGGCACUAUCUGCAGCUACAGGUGGCAUCGACCUGCAGCUACAGGGAGCGUCGACCUGCAGCUGGAGGAGGUGUCGACCAAAAGCUCGCCACGCACGGCACUACGGCCUACUGCCACAACAGUCCACCACCUACAGCCGGCGCCGCAGCGCCUCGGGCCGUUCAACUAUGCCACCUCAGGCCGUCCAACUCCACCUGGUGCUCGUCGUGGAUGACCCCGCCAUCGUCAACUCCAUUUGCUUCCUUCCGCUGUACGCGGCCAACUCCAUGAGCUCCUCGCCUCUACUCUGUUUAGAAGAGCGUCGUGAGCUCGUCCAACUAUGGCUGCUUCUCUGCUGGUGCCAACUCCUGUUGUGGCCAUUUCUGCUCGGCCGGAUCCCACUCCUAUUGAGAAUAGCAGCACACAAAAGGCUCAAGUUGUCGAUUAGGUAGUAGGUACAAACUUCAUAUAUUUCUGUAUCUUAAUAAUGCUAUAUAGUACUGACAUCCUACAGCUUAUGGCGAAUGCUUUUGUGACUGCAGAUGGUAAUCAGUGAACAGUUUGGUUUCUUCUCUUCUACAAAGAGUUUUUUUUUCCUCCAUCAAUACUGGUGGUCGCUCUAACUUUGUGAAGCUAGAGAAACAAGAAGACAAAUGGGCAAACGUAGUAAACAUACCGAGUACAUUAUGAUUUUUCAGGCAUAAGAGAGGAUAAACUUUCUCAUCUAGUCAUUUUGCUUGUGUCUAGCAGGGUUAUGAGCUGAAGGCGCAUUAACUUGGCUUGCCCAUGGCGGUGUUUGAUACAGUAGUCUGUUAAUUUUCUGAUCGAGUUGAACAUAGCAAUUUAAGACCAAUUCAUACCAUGCUGUAAAUUUGUUGCACAAACAAACUGAUGAACCAACAACGAAAUUAUAACUUGGGC